rnacentral:rRNA from 1 species
GACAUAGGUGGCGAACGUUAUCCGGAAUUAUUGGGCGUAAAGGGUGCGCAGGCGGCAUAAUAAGUUAUUGGCGGGAAAUCGAGGCUCAACCUCGUGGAAACUGAUAAUACUGUUUUGCUUGAGUACAGGAGAGGUUAACGGAACUCCAUGUGGAGCGGUAAAAUGUGUAGAUAUAUGGAAGAACAUCAAUAACGGCGAAGGCAGUUAACUAUUCUGUUACUGACGUUGAGGCACGAAAGCGUGGGGAGCAAAAAGG